AGUGAACGCUGGCGGUAGGCUUAACACAUGCAAGUCGAACGGCAGCACAGUAAGAGCUUGCUCUUACGGGUGGCGAGUGGCGGACGGGUGAGGAAUAAAUCGGAAUCUACUUUUUCGGGGGGGAUGACGUAGGGAAACUUACGCUAAUAACGCAUACGACCUACGGGUGAAAGCAGGGGAUCUUCGGACCUUGCGCGAUUGAAUGAGCCGAUGUCGGAUUAGCUAGUUGGCGGGGUAAAGGCCCACCAAGGGGACGAUCCGUAGCUGGUCUGGGAGGAUGGUCGCCCACACUGGAACGGGAACACGGUCCAGACCCCUACGGGAGGCACCAGAGGGGAAUAUUGGACAAUGGUGGCAAGCCUGAUCCAGCCAUCCCGCGUGGUUGAAAAAGGCCUUGGGUUGUAAAGGCCCUUUUUUAGGGAAAAAAAAGCAUCAGAUUGGUACGCCGCUGUUCUGACGGUACCCAAAGAAAAAGCACCGGCUAACUACGUG
rnacentral:rRNA from 1 species